GUCCACACUGUAAACGAUGAUUACUAGGUGUUGGAGGAUUGACCCCUUCAGUGCCGCAGUUAACACAAUAAGUAAUCCACCUGGGGAGUACGACCGCAAGGUUGAAACUCAAAGGAAUUGACGGGGCCCGCACAAGCAGUGGAGUAUGUGGUUUAAUUCGACGCAACGCGAAGAACCUUACCAAGUCUUGACAUCCUGCGACGGUUCUGGAAACAGAACUUUCCUUCGGGAUGCAGAGACAGGUGGUGCAUGGUUGUCGU
rnacentral:rRNA from 1 species